rnacentral:rRNA from 1 species
UAAGGUGCGUAACACGUGGGAAUCUGCCGAGAAGUGGGGGAUAGCUCGUCGAAAGGCGAAUUAAUACCGCAUAGAUGAGCCCGCGGCCUAUCAGCUUGUUGGUGAGGUAACGGCUCACCAAGGCUAUGACGGGUAGCUGGUCUGAAGGACGACCAGUCACACUGGACUGAGACACGGUCCAGACACCUACGGGUGGCAGCAGUCGAGAAUUUUUCUCAAUGGGGGAAACCCUGAAGGAGCGACGCCGCGUGGAGGAUGGAGGUCUUCGGAUCGUAAACUCCUGUCAUUUGGGAUAGUACCAGAAGAGGAAGAGACGCUAACUCUGUGCCAGCAGCCGCGGUAAUACAGAUCUCAAGCGUUGUUCGGAUUCAUUGGGCGUAAGGGUGCGUAGUGGCGAGGUUAGUCAGGUGUGAAUCUCGGGGCUCAACCCCGAAACGCACUUGAUACUGCCUGCUUGAGUACUGGAGAGGAAUUGGAAUUACGGUGUAGCAUGAAAUGCGUAGAUAUCGGAAGGAACACCAGUGGAUCACAGUGAAUUCGC